AUUGAACACUGGCGGCAUGCCUUACACAUGCAAGUCGAACGGCAGCACGGGAGCAAUCCUGGUGGCGAGUGGCGAACGGGUGCGUAAUAUAUCGGAACGUGCCCAGUCGUGGGGGAUAACGUAGCGAAAGCUACGCUAAUACCGCAUACGAUCUAUGAAUGAAAGCGGGGGAUCGCAAGACCUCGCGCGAUUGGAGCGGCCGAUAUCAGAUUAGGUAGUUGGUGAGGUAAAGGCUCACCAAGCCGACGAUCUGUAGCUGGUCUGAGAGGACGACCAGCCACACUGGGACUGAGACACGGCCCAGACUCCUACGGGAGGCAGCAGUGGGGAAUUUUGGACAAUGGGCGCAAGCCUGAUCCAGCAGUGCCGCGUGCAGGAUGAAGGCCUUCGGGUUGUAAACUGCUUUUGUACGGAACGAAACGGUGAGCUCUAAUACAGUUUGCUAAUGACGGUACCGUAAGAAUAAGCACCGGCUAACUACGUGCCAGCAGCCGCCGUAAGAC
rnacentral:rRNA from 1 species